rnacentral:tRNA from 1 species
GAGCCGUUAGCUCAGUGGCAGAGCAGCGGGCUUUUAACCCGUCGGCCGAGGGUUCGACCCCCUCACGGCUCA